rnacentral:rRNA from 1 species
UAUUGCACAAUGGGCGCAAGCCUGAUGCAGCCAUGCCGCGUGUGUGAAGAAGGCCUUCGGGUUGUAAAGCACUUUCACUCAGGAGGAAAGGUUAGUAGUUAAUACCUGCUAGCUGUGACGUUACUGACAGAAGAAGCACCGGCUAACUCCGUGCCAGCAGCCGCGGUAAUACGGGGGGUGCGAGCGUUAAUCGGAAUUACUGGGCGUAAAGCGUACGCAGGCGGUUUGUUAAGCGAGAUGUGAAAGCCCCGGGCUCAACCUGGGAACUGCAUUUCGAACUGGCAAACUAGAGUGUGAUAGAGGGUGGUAGAAUUUCAGGUGUAGCGGUGAAAUGCGUAGAGAUUUGAAGGAAUACCGAUGGCGAAGGCAGCCACCUGGGUCAACACUGACGCUCAUUACGAAA